AAAACAGUGAUUAUAAAAGCUACGAUUUAUAAAUUUCUUAAGAGAGCCGAUGGUUGGUGUGAAUCGGUGAAAGGUUAAAUCUUUCCACUUUUGGAGCUGUCGGUGAUGAAUCGAAAGGUUUGUACUCUUUAUUGUACUAUUGUCGAGUGGCUAGUUGAUUUAUAGACUAGCAAGUUGGGUGGCAACGCGGAUAUCUCCGUCCCAAUA
rnacentral:ncRNA from 1 species